rnacentral:ncRNA from 1 species
AUGGUGUCUGAAGAGACGUAAAAGGGAAUCUGGUGUAAAUCCAGAACUGUACCCGCAACUGUAAAUGCUGACGAAAUAAGCAGAACCACUGUCUUUGGAUGGGAAGGGCUUAGAGUAGGUAAAGGCAUAAGUCAGGAAACCUGCCAUUUUUAU